ensembl:snoRNA SNORD58 Small nucleolar RNA SNORD58
CUGCGAUGAUGGCAUUUCUUAGGACACCUUUGGAUUAACCGUGAAAACAACUACUUUCUGAGCGGC